GCCCAGAUAGCUCAGUUGGUAGAGCAGCGGACUGAAAAUCCGCGUGUCGGUGGUUCGAAUCCGCCUCUGGGCACC
rnacentral:tRNA from 8 species